rnacentral:rRNA from 1 species
CAAGUCGAACGAUGAAGUUCCUUCGGGAAUGGAUUAGUGGCGAACGGGUGAGGAACACGUGAGAAACCUGCCUUUCAUUCUGGGAUAACACCGGGAAACCGGUGCUAAUACCGGAUACUCCGUCUUGGCGGCAUCGCCGAGCCGGGAAAAAAUUUUGAUGAAAGAUGGUCUCGCGGCCUAUCAGCUAGUUGGUGAGGUAAUGGCUCACCAAGGCGACGACGGGUAGCCGGCCUGAGAGGGCGACCGGCCACACUGGGACUGAGACACGGCCCAGACUCCUACGGGAGGCAGCAGUAGGGAAUAUUGGGCAAUGGGCGCAAGCCUGACCCAGCGACGCCGCGUGAGGGAUGAAGGUCUUCGGAUUGUAAACCUCUUUCACUAGGGAAGAAGCGAAAGUGACGGUACCUAAAGAAGAAGCACCGGCUAACUAUGUGCCAGCAGCCGCGGUAAUACGUAGGGUGCAAGCGUUGUCCGGAAUUAUUGGGCGUAAAGAGCUCGUAGGUCGUUUGUCGCGUCGAUUGUGAAAAUCUGAGGCUCAACCUCAGACCUGCAGUCGAUACGGGCAAACUAGAGUGUGGUAGGGGAGACUGGAAUUCCUGGUGUAGCGGUGGAAUGCGCAGAUAUCAGGAGGAACACCAAUGGCGAAGGCAGGUCUCUGGGCCAUAACUGACACUGAGGAGCGAAAGUGCGGGGAGCGAACAGGAUUAGAUACCCUGGUAGUCCGCACCGUAAACGGUGGGCACUAGUUGUGGGAACCUUCCACGGUUUCCGCGACGCAGCAAACGCAUUAAGUGCCCCGCCUGGGGAGUACGAUCGCAAGAUUAAAACUCAAAGGAAUUGACGG